AUGUCAGCACUGGAGAGGAAACCUCAUGUUCCGGGCCCGACUCCACACAAGGUCUUAGGCCCCGGCAUCAACUGGCUCUGGGCUCUGUGUCCAUCCUCACCCACCCACCUGGCUCUGGGCUCCGUGUCCACUUCCACUGGGCCCCUCAGCAGCCUUGUGAGGAGGACCGGUCCUGGUGCUAACGGGAAGAUGGGGAUGUGGAGGGUCAGCUGCGUCCCCUGCCUCAAUGAGCCCUCUGACUGCCUCCACCCAGGUGACCCGGCUCUGGGGAGAGAGAUGGUGAGGGGCGGGGCUGGGCUGGGGGCCUGGCCUGCAGCGUCCCAGGGAGAGAGACGGGGUCUCAGGGCCAGAGGCCCCCUUAGGACAGGAGAGCACACAGGAGGUGACCUCUGGGUGAGAGCCCUCAGCAGCCUUGUGAGGAGGACCGGUCCUGGUGCUAACGGGAAGAUGGGGAUGUGGAGGGUCAGCUGCGUCCCCUGCCUCAAUGAGCCCUCUGACUGCCUCCACCCAGGCUGGGGGCGGGAUGGAGAUCGGAGAGGCCAGCACACAAAGUCACGGGACAUCUGGGGCCAAUCACAGGAGCGUCGUUAACGCAAGUACAGCCACACCCCACGCUCCUAAAGGCUGCGCCAGCCACUGUCCCUGCUCCCGGCCUCCGGGGGAGGGGGCCUCCUGCUCUGGACCCCGAGCUGACCCCAAGCCAGCCCCGGUGCCCCGUCCACUCAGGCGGAGCUCACGUCCCUCUUUCCUCCUCACUGGCCCUGGGCCAGCCCAGCUCUUUCCCU
rnacentral:lncRNA from 1 species